GAUGAACGCUGGCGGCGUGCCUAAUACAUGCAAGUCGAGCGAACAGACGAGGAGCUUGCUCCUCUGACGUUAGCGGCGGACGGGUGAGUAACACGUGUAUAACCUACCUAUAAUACUGGGAUAACUUCGGGAAACCGGAGCUAACACCGGAUAAUAUAUUGAACCGCAUGGUUCAAUAGUGAAAGACGGUUUUGCUGUCACUUAUAGAUGGAUCCGCGCCGCAUUAGCUAGUUGGUAAGGUAACGGCUUACCAAGGCAACGAUGCGUAGCCGACCUGAGAGGGUGAUCGGCCACACUGGAACUGAGACACGGUCCAGACUCCUACGGGAGGCAGCAGUAGGGAAUCUUCCGCAAUGGGCGAAAGCCUGACGGAGCAACGCCGCGUGAGUGAUGAAGGUCUUCGGAUCGUAAAACUCUGUUAUUAGGGAAGAACAAAUGUGUAAGUAACUAUGCACGUCUUGACGGUACCUAAUCAGAAAGCCACGGCUAACUACGUG
rnacentral:rRNA from 1 species